rfam:Pontibacillus litoralis JSM 072002 contig1, whole genome shotgun sequence.
CCGAUGCUACAACCGCUCAAAACAGGUUUUCAAGCCUUUAGGGCACCUGCAUGGCGAGUCUGAGUUAAUAA